AACGAACGCUGGCGGCAUGCCAACCCAUGCCAGUCGAACGCGACCUUCGGGUCUAGUGGCGCACGGGUGCGUAACGCGUGGGAACCUGCCCUUAGGUUCGGAAUAACUCCCCGAAAGGGGUGCUAAUACCGGAUAAUGUCUUCGGACCAAAGAUUUAUCGCCUUUGGAUGGGCCCGCGUUGGAUUAGCUAGUUGGUAGGGUAAAAGCCUACCAAGGCGACGAUCCAUAGCUGGUCUGAGAGGAUGAUCAGCCACACUGGGACUGAGACACGGCCCAGACUCCUACGGGAGGCAGCAGUGGGGAAUAUUGGACAAUGGGCGAAAGCCUGAUCCAGCAAUGCCGCGUGAGUGAUGAAGGCCUUAGGGUUGUAAAGCUCUUUUACCCGGGAUGAUAAUGACAGUACCGGGAGAAUAAGCUCCGGCUAACUCCGUG
rnacentral:rRNA from 1 species